CUUGGUCAUUUAGAGGAAGUAAAAGUCGUAACAAGGUCUCCGUAGGUGAACCUGCGGAGGGAUCAUUACACAAAUAUGAAGGCGGGCUGGAACCUCUCGGGGUUACAGCCUUGCUGAAUUAUUCACCCUUGUCUUUUGCGUACUUCUUGUUUCCUUGGUGGGUUCGCCCACCACUAGGACAAACAUAAACCUUUUGUAAUUGCAAUCAGCGUCAGUAACAAAUUAAUAAUUACAACUUUCAACAACGGAUCUCUUGGUUCUGGCAUCGAUGAAGAACGCAGCGAAAUGCGAUAAGUAGUGUGAAUUGCAGAAUUCAGUGAAUCAUCGAAUCUUUGAACGCACAUUGCGCCCCUUGGUAUUCCAUGGGGCAUGCCUGUUCGAGCGUCAUUUGUACCUUCAAGCUUUGCUUGGUGUUGGGCGUUUUGUCUUUUCUUUUGUGAUUAGACUCGCCUUAAAGUAAUUGGCAGCCAGUGUUUUUGGUAGUAAGCGCAGCACAUUUUGCGUCUUAGUCCCUAGACAGCGGCAUCCAUAUAGCCUCUUUCUCACUUUUGACCUCGGAUCAGGUAGGGAUACCCGCUGAACUUAAGCAUAUCAAUAAGCGGAGGA
rnacentral:rRNA from 1 species